rnacentral:tRNA from 1 species
GAGGGUAUGGCUCAGUGGUAGAGCUCAUGCUUACCUGCACAAGGUCCUAGGUUCAAUCCUCAGUACCUCCA